rnacentral:lncRNA from 1 species
CUCCUCCUCGACUUCCUCUUACACCCUCGACAAGCUCCCUAUUGGCAACGACUGACAAUGUCGCCUACCCACCUUGCAAACAUGUGAAGAACAUGACUGGACUUCAUCAUGGUCGCCGCCAUCUCCGAUAUCGCCCAGACCUACUCCAUUCUUGAGACCCUUGACGAGCAUCCCGACCACGAGACUGCUGUCGAUGUUAAGCUUCCAGUUAGCUCCUCUCGACACCACCUUUCGAUCUCCACAUGGUCGAGCAACUCCUCUCGCCAAUAAAAAAAAAAAAACAAACAUACAUUAAUCUAUUAUUAGAAAUCUGAAAAAAUAAAUAAAUAGAAUCUCUGUUUCUAACUCUCUCAAAAAAAUAUGAUAAUGACGCCUAUUGCAGUACAAGCAAUACGGAUAUUUAUUUGUUUAUUUAUUUUUGUAUGAUAUGUUAGUCCGGUUAUUCUAAGCAUAAAAGCCAAAAUAUCAUGCAUUAACAAGAGACAACAGAUUAGCAGGAGAGCCGAACACUCCCAUUGUCAUUCUAAACAAGUUCCCAUUGGCAUCACGAAGGCGGCCUAAUGGUCGCGGCCGCUUCAAUAGCGCACACGGACAGAGCUAGCCGACAACGUUAGCCCAACGGCACCUUCCAUCUGUCACUCACGGAAUCAGAAAAUAAAAAUAAAAAUGAUUAUAUCACGUGGCCAGUAGCCCUGGCCCACCCAUGAAUUAUAUGGGCCGCGAUU